CCUACGGGUGGCUGCAGUAGGGAAUAUUGCUCAAUGGGGGAAACCCUGAAGCAGCAACGCCGCGUGGAGGAUGAAGGUUUUCGGAUUGUAAAAGCCUUUUGUUAGAGAAGAAAAUGACGGUAUCUAACGAAUAAGCAACGGCUAACUCCGGGCCAGCAGCCGCGGUAAUACGGAGGGUGCACGCCUUCCUCGGAAUAACUUGGCGUAAAGAGGGCGUAGGCGGGAUAGCAAGUCAUAUGUGCAAUCCUAUGGCUUAACCAUAGAACUGCAUUUGAAACGGUUAUUCUAGAGUAUGGGAGUGGUAGGUGGAAUUCUUGGUGUUGCGGUUCAAUCCGUAGAGCUCCAG
rnacentral:rRNA from 1 species